rnacentral:lncRNA from 1 species
CAGAACUCUGAAUUACGGAUGCUUCUUCAUCAGUAUAUUAAUUCAAAGGUAAUGUUUUUUACAACUUUGGCAAACCUGCAGUCCCUUGCGGAACUCUGACCGAUAUUUGAACAUCUCUGAUCGCUAUUUAGACAUCACUGGGAACGUCAUUUUGUUUCUUGUGAUGUUACUCUGAGUGUGUAUCCAUCCCGGGCAGUCUUGACAAAUAUGCCCGGCCACGGUGGGAAUCGAACCUACGACCUUUGGAAUACUAGCCCAAUGCUCUGCCAACAGACCUUUCCCCUUUUAAAUGAGAUUUUGAUCUAGACAAGUCUGUACAAAAAUUUCACUACAGCUUGAAAGAGCAUCGCAAAAUUAGUAUUAUUCCGAAGUUUCUUUGCAAAAUGUUGUAAAAUGCGGAUAAUAUAGCCUUGCGAAGUUUGCCGUUUUUCAGUCAUUUUGAUUACAAAUGGGAAAUUGAUAAUCAGAUGAUCAAACUGAUUAUCAAUUUCCAGUUUGUAAUGCAAAAUGACUGAAAAACGGCAAACUUCGCCAUGCUAUAUUGGCCGCAUUUUACAACAUUUCGCAACGAAACUUCGGAAUAUUACUAAUUUUGUGAUACUCUUUCAAGCUUGUCCAGGCUAGUCUAGAUCAAAAUUUUACUUAAAAGGGGAAAGGUCUACUGAGCUACACGGUCAGGUCGGUUCGAGAUGCGAUAUUUCGGAACUGAGUCUAGUUCCUUCGAUAUCAGUGUGAUCUAAUAAUCAUGAUAUUUGUCGUGUAGUGUACUACACCAACACGACAAAUAUCAUGAUUAUUAGAUUACACUGAUAUCGAAGGAACUAGACUCAGUUCCGAAAUAUCGCAUCUCGAACCGACCUGACCGCGUAGCUCAGUUGGCAGAGCAUUGGGCUAGUAUUCCAAAGGUCGUAGGGUCGAUUCCCACCGUAGCCAGGCAUAUUUUUCAAGCCUGCCCGGUGUGGAUAUACACUCAGAGUAACAUCACAAGCAUCUUAUUCACCUGAGUACACUACACCAACACGACAUCGAUGCCUGUGUGUUUACUCUGCCUGCAAACAUUCGGUCAUGUUCUCACAUUGUUUUACUCGUCAGGGCAAUUUGAAUCGUCAGAGCAAUUUUAGUGGAUAAUGCAAAGCAAAGACUGACACCUUUACUGACAUUAUUUUGCGGAAUCAAAAAUUAGUUAAAUUAUAAGCUAUAGUCUUAUACAGUAUAUUACGAUGUGAAGAUCUGGUCCUUUGUUUCAUGUUGACGGGGGUAUCUUAACCUCUAUUUGUAUUUUUGCACUUUUUGUUAAUUGUAUAUAUAUAAUUUAUAUGUUUUAUUUGAAGGUUAACCAAGAGCUUGAAAUACCUCCAACAAGGCUGAUGAAAUUUGAUGUUUCUAAAGAUUAACAAUGUAUAUACGUAUAAAUAUGUAUCAUAGAUAUCUCAGGGUGAAUAAUCAAACAAUUUGGCUGAGGCAGCUUGACUGUUCCAGAUACUUUAUUUGCACAACAUGCACAUGGCAAUGAACCCACCAUUUAUUCAAAAAUCCUCAAAACCUCAACAAAAUAAAGCGAAUUGCUACGCAGGCUAGGCAUUGAAGGUAUACCAAAUGGUUUUCGUGCAGGAUAGCGUCAUCUAUACACGCAGGUUGUUGCGAGACUUUCGUUAAAAAACACGAGCCGCAAGGGAGUAUUUCUUUACGCUUUUCAAAAGGGUAGCCUCGCUGUAGUUCGGAAGAGUGAUUUUCAUUGGCUCGAUUUGACAAUUGCUUUUGUGUUUACAACAAUGAAUUGCUUCGUUCUUUAGAAAACCCCCAUCCAAUUGGAGACGACCUUCCGAGCCACUGCGAGGCUUCCCUCCAAAAGUCGAGCAAUAUCCCGCGCGUAUUACGUGUAAGAUAUUACAUGGCGCGAAGAUAUGACUUUUGUCUUCGAGUGGUGAAAACAACAUUUUACCGAAACGAGCGCAGCGACUGAGUAAUAUUGUUUCCAACACGAGAAGAUAAAAGUCAUAUCUUCAAGCCACCGUGUAAUGUUCUAUUAUAUAGUCCCAAGCAAAACAUUGUAUAAAUAGUAAAAGUCAUGUGAUUGAUAUCUUCACUAGUGAAGAUAUGGAAAAUAUCUCGCUGUGUAGUUUUUAGUAUCUCAAUCUCUACUAUAUAAUAAAUGACGCUAUCCUGCACGAGAAACCAUUCGGUAAUUGUUUUAUGAAAAUAACUACAGUUAAACAACCUAAUGUAUUAACUCCCAGACUUAACUUGAACGAUCAAAUUGCGUGUUUCACUGUACUUAUUGUAUAUCCGUUUAUAUAUGUGUCGACGCACAAAAUCUGCCCACCUGCGUUCGUUCGCUCUGCACUCAAUAGACUGAACAUAAAGAACACGCAUACAGUAUAGUAAGAUGAAAUGGC